rnacentral:rRNA from 1 species
CCUACGGGGGGCUGCAGUGAGGAAUAUUGCGCAAUGGACGAAAGUCUGACGCAGCAACGCCGCGUGCAGGAUGACGGCCCUCUGGGUUGUAAACUGCUGUAGCAGGGGAAUAAUACUCGCCUCGGGCGAGUUGAAGGUACCCUGAAAGUAAGCUCCGGCUAACUACGUGCCAGCAGCCGCGGUAAUACGUAGGGAGCAAGCGUUGUCCGGAUUUACUGGGUGUAAAGGGUGCGCAGGCGGGUUUGUAAGUCAGGGGUGAAAUCUCACGGCUUAAC